rnacentral:lncRNA from 1 species
CGAUGCACCAUUAUUUGAGAUGUAUUUAAAGCUGAAAACACUUAAAGGUAACAACAUGGAAAAAUGCAAUCCUUAAAAAGCCAACAAUUAAUGUUACAAGUCUCCAAUCUUUAAGAAUGCUCCAGGAUUUAAGCAAUUGUUUUAUGAAAUUUUAGAAUUCUCUGUCAUCUAGAAAUUCUAGAAAACUCUGGAAUGCCACAAGGAAGUCAAACAACCAGAUUAUUGUAUCCAUAGCAAUCACACUUUUAUUACAAUUCCUCAGAGUCCAUAGUGGGUCUCUUAACGUCCAUGCAUGAGGUGCACUAACACCACCACAUGAUCGCUUGGAGCUCCACAGACAGAAAACAGCCCUAAUGUUAGGUCCCUGAGGAUGACAAGUAUUCCUUUCUUUUCCUGAAGGAACAUUCCUGCUCUAAGUGUGCUUCUCAGACUUCUGGAGUCAUUCAAGGUUCUAGCAUCAUUGAAGUACAGCAAGAAAACUGUUUCAGAGCCUUUUCCAACAGAUCAUGGUCUUAACAGCAUCAGAAAUUCUUCAUAAAAGCACAGUCCAAAACCAACCUUUUAUGGAAGCUUGUGAUCCCAGUUUAAUUUCAGUAGGAAUGGUCGCGGUUGUGUCUGGAGGAAAUGAAGACUCCUGUGAGGGCCACAGUUAAAAGUGAGAAAAUUUAAUGUGAGAAUUUCUGGAAGACAUUGAGUAUGCUCUUCCACACUACCACUCUGACAGAAACCCCAGUAACAGCACAGCCACACUCUGUUGUGGCUUAAACGAUAUGAAGGUCUGAAAGGUAAACACAGAAGGCACAACACACCCUGAUCCCAUCAGUCAGAAGAUGUAUAAAUAAAGUACAGAGUUUAAAGAAAAAUAAAUGAAAAAAGAAAAAGAAAUUGUUUUUUUGUAAAGAAACAACAGGAACAGCCUGACUUUGAUAAUGUUUUGACAUUUGAAGUAUCCAACCAGUGUGAAAUCCUAGUCAGUAUCAACACAAUGGAUCACUAAUCAAUGCAGACUGAAGAAGUCCAGGAAAGCACUCAAGAGCAGCAGGUACAUGCCCUGUUGGAAGCAAUUGGAGAAGCAAAUUGAAGCAAAUGCAGAAGACUCAGCUGUUGGGUAAAUUGAAGACAAUCCUUCUACAGGCCUAAUCCUAAGGUGAAUGCAAAGAAAGAAAGGCUGUGAGGAUCAAACAAAGUUAACUGUAUGAAUGAAGUAAUCUUAUGCUCUUCUUAAACAAAGUGUGCUCUGAAGUGUCUGCGAAUAACUCAUCCAGCUGAAAUGAUAAAGUACACCAGACUGAUGGAAAACAUAACAUAGACAGGUCAUCGAUACAGGAAAGAAAGAAAGAAAAAAAGGCAGGAGAAGAGGAGGAGAAUCACUUUCGGAUUAUCAUGGCAGUACCUGAAGUUUUGUCCCUUCUCUACUUUUUCUGGAGACUGCACAGAGAGUAAAUAGGACCUCCUGGCAACAAUAGUACAAUACUCUGAUUUCAGAACAGUGUAUGUUGUACUGAGAGCCAUACCUAAAAUAUCUGUGGAUUCUAGAACAGAACGUUCAGGCCUAUUGUCCUGGGAAAACUAAAAAUGAACAAAAUCAAUUUCAUAGAUGGUUCAGAUGUUAAUGCCUACCUUGUGUCUGAGGCAAAAAAUAAACACAGAUGUACAGAUAUUAUUUAACUCACAUGAAAGAGAAGUCAUUUUCCAACCAUGCUGCAACUGCAUUUAAUGGAAAACUCACAGGUAAUCUCCUCCUCAGUUCUCUCUCUCAAGCAAGAUGAGACAGAGGGAGCACUUCCAAAAUUUCCAUCACAUAAAUUAUCAUAGAAUCCUUAGAGUUGGAAGGGACCCUUAAAGGCCAUCUAGUCCACCUCCCCUGGAAUGAAGAGGGACACCUACAGCUACAUCAGGUUGCCCAGAGUCCUGACCAGCCUGACCUUGAGUGUCUCCAGGUAUGAGGCAUCCAUCUCCUCUCUGGGCAACCUCUGCCAGUGCUUCACGACCAAGAAGAGAAAGAUGAAGAAGAUGAAGAUGACAAAGAAGACAGAGAAGUAAAAGAAAAAAAAAAAAGAAAAAACACUUUGUUGUAGCCCAAGCUGUCUAUAAAAGAAAAAGCAGAACUGUACAUAAAAUAAAAUGUUACAAAAAAAGAGAACAAUCUGCUUUGCAUAAUUUGGCUAAGACUAGACGUAUUAAUAUAGUAAUAUAUAUUACUAUAGGCUAGAUAUAUUAAUACAGUAAUAUUUUCUGAUGGAAACUUUUCCAGAACUAUCAUAAAUCAGUGACAACAUUAAAGUGAGUAUGUCAAGAUAAUUAGGAAAAUGGAGAAUAUUAUUUCCUUAGUUCUAUUAUGCAUUUAUAUUUUAGGAUUGCAUAACUGUCUUUCUAAAUGUAAUCACCCAUGCUCUACAUCAAAUGUACAUACAUAUAAGACAUAAACUAUUAACAGAUCCCCAGUUUGUUCAUGGAGUGACUGGUAUGUUAAAAAAGGGUGAUUGGAUUUACUCUUUAGAAAACAACACUCUACUUAUGGAAAAGAAAAGCAAGCCUUGGUAAGUAUCAUGCACUUUAUCUUUCAUAAUUAGUUUUGCUGUCCAUGCAUGGGCAGUUGCAUUUGGCUGUCCCACAUGCCUGCUUCAAGCUGUAGUUCAGUCUCAGCCUUGAGUUUCAGGGAUUUUGACAUGUCGUUGUUUAUCUCCCUACUUUAUGCAACAAGGAAACAUAUUUACAGCCUUCUGACCCUUUGCAUUGUGUCUCUAAGUACAACAUAUAAAUUUAUGUGCAUACCAGGAAUCCCCUUGCAUCUAGUGAAAUCCACAUGUAAUUUUCUGUGCCCAUAUUCCACCAUAUUUUUACAUGAACACAUGGCUUUUAUAACAGAUCCUGCUCAUAAUUUGAGGCCUGCCUUUUUCUGCAAUCCAGCCAUGGAAUGGAUUUUUAUUAAUAGGGCCCUAAGACUUUACACUUGACUUUGGAAAAAGAGCGGGCACUGGUGCCAAGUUUUGAACUACAUGAUCAUAAUUCGGUCUGUUGUGUCACACACAUUCAAAAAGGUAGUUCUAAAAUUCAUGUCCUC